UGACAAUGAAUAUAUAAUUAAAUGACAAUGAGCCAAAGACUCUAACCUAGUAGAAGGAAGAGGACCAUCUAUGUUAAUUUGAUUUUGAAUUUAGUCAAGCAAGGCACUCAGAGGCACCAACCCAAAAGAUGACAGCAAGGUUGAAUGGUGACCUUUCAACCUUGAGUACAAGAUACUCUCAGGUAUAAAAGCAA